ACCUUCUACCAGAUUUUUGUUGGAAGUUAAUGCCAUUUCCAACGAAAGACUUGAGCAAGGGAGAACAACUGCAUGUCGCAAUCAAAAAGAGCAAUCGGUCGAUUUGACCAAAGCUAUUUGAGGCUUCAUCGACAUU
rnacentral:snoRNA from 1 species